rnacentral:rRNA from 1 species
CUCGUAGGCGGUUUGGUAAGUCGGGUGUGAAAUCUCCACGCUCAACGUGGAGGGGCCACUCGAUACUGCCAUGACUCGAGUCCGGUAGAGGAGUGUGGAAUUCCCGGUGUAGCGGUGAAAUGCGCAGAUAUCGGGAGGAACACCCGUAGCGAAGGCGGCACUCUGGGCCGGAACUGACGCUGAGGAGCGAAAGCGUGGGGAGCAAACA